UACAGAGGUCUCAAGCGUUGUUCGGAAUUACUGGGCGUAAAGGGCUCGUAGGCGGCCAACUAAGUCAUACGUGAAAUCCCUCGGCUUAACCGGGGAACUGCGUCUGAUACUGGAUGGCUUGAGUUCGGGAGAGGGAUGCGGAAUUCCAGGUGUAGCGGUGAAAUGCGUAGAUAUCUGGAGGAACACCGGUGGCGAAGGCGGCAUCCUGGACCGAUACUGACGCUGAGGAGCGAAAGCGUGGGGAGCGAACAGG
rnacentral:rRNA from 1 species